GACGAACGCUGGCGGCGUGCUUAACACAUGCAAGUCGAACGGAAAGGCCCUGCUUUUGUGGGGUGCUCGAGUGGCGAACGGGUGAGUAACACGUGAGUAACCUGCCCUUGACUUUGGGAUAACUUCAGGAAACUGGGGCUAAUACCGGAUAGGAGCUCCUGCUGCAUGGUGGGGGUUGGAAAGUUUCGGCGGUUGGGGAUGGACUCGCGGCUUAUCAGCUUGUUGGUGGGGUAGUGGCUUACCAAGGCUUUGACGGGUAGCCGGCCUGAGAGGGUGACCGGCCAAAUUGGGAAUGAGAUACGGCCCAGACUCCUACGGGAGGCAGCAGUGGGGAAUAUUGCGCAAUGGGCGGAAGCCUGAUGCAGCAACGCAGCGUGCGGGAUGACGGCCUUCGGGUUGUAACCCGCUUUCGCCUGUGACGAAGCGUGAGUGACGGUAAUGGGUAAAGAAGCACCGGCUAACUACGUG
rnacentral:rRNA from 1 species